rnacentral:misc_RNA from 1 species
AACGCAUAUUGCGCUCUUUGGUAUUCCGAAGAGCAUGCUUGUUUGAGUAUCAGUAAACACCUCAAAGACUUUUUUUUUUCGGAAUUAAAUCUUUGGACUUGAGCAAUCCCAACACCAAUCCUUUACUGGAUCGGCGGAGGGUUGCUUGAAAUGCAGGUGCAGCUGGACAUUCUCCUGAGCUAUAAGCAUAUUUAUUUAAUCCGGUCAAACGGAUUAUUACUUUUGCUGCAGCUAACAUAAAGGGAGUUUGACCGUAUUGGCUGACUGAUGCAGGAUUUCACAGGGGGGUUGGCAACAACAACUUUGUAAAACUCGAUCUCAAAUCAAGUAAGACUACCCGCUGAACUUAA